GGAGAGGUGGCUGAGUGGUCGAAAGCGUCGGUUUGCUAAACCGAUGUAGGGGUCAAACCCUACCGCAGGUUCGAAUCCUGUCCUCUCCG
rnacentral:tRNA from 1 species